rnacentral:lncRNA from 1 species
CACCCACCAUCAGGCAGGAGUUACUGAGGAAAUUUCUGUCUGAAGUUUCCAAACAGAGCAAAGAAAAGUCAGAGAGAACCAGCCCGAGACCGAUGCUGCAUUUGGAAGGUUGUGGUCGGCCAAGAGAAGGCAGUGGUCCACAGAGUCUCCAUCCCUCCAGAGGACCACAGAGCCAGGACACGCAACAGGUCAACUAGACAGAGGCUGCACAGGCCAUUUGCAGGGCAAAGUCAGUGCCCAGCACAGCAGAGAAAAUCUUUCUGGUGAGCUGCGCCUGAACAUGUGUGAAGUGGAGGUAACAGCCUGGCACAGCACAGCCACCAAGGAGGGAGACUGAGAAGAAAGGAGAGACCGAGAAGAAAAGAGAGACCAGGAGUACAAAUUCACCUAAAAGAAGACCUCCACAUGAAAGAUAGUGAAUUUUUCUAUUAAAUCUGACAUCAUUUCCUUGUAUGUCUGAUUUAUUUGGGAAAGUGAAAAUUCAUAUCAUAAAAAUGGCAAAAUUUCUCCAAGUCCCCAAACCACCAUAAUGGCGCCCAUUUCAUCAAGCCAAGCAGGAGUAUCCUGGGACUCUCUAAGGAGGAGACACACUGGUAGCAAUCAGAAUAUUGGCAAAGCAUAAGCUUAAGGCAGGAGAAGAGUCAGUAUCCUGCCUCUAUGUGAUUCAGAGCACAGAAAUUGUUGCUCACAACCAUGACCUUGGGUCACUGACUCAGAGUUUAACCCGGAAAGGGGAAACCACAUCAAUUGUAUAGCUAGGUAGAUAGAUAUCUCAGAGAUAAUUUAAUCAGGGAAACCAUUGCACAGGUGAGGGAGGAGCCAGGGGGCCAAACAAAGAAUGACGGGGACCCAGAUAUUAGCAUCAGCAGGAUGUCACUGCACUCAGGCCAGUGGGUACAGGGUAUGGGGGGAUCGAACUGGGCUGAUGGCAUCCUGGAGAUGCUGGCAUUACCACACAGCUGCUGAGACUGGAGGCAGAUAGAGAAAGAAGACAAAGUUGGCUUAUCCCUUCCCUCCACCCUCCAGUCUCCCCUCAGUGCCCGGUGGACACACACCCAGCCAGUAACCGGGGAAGUCAGCUUAGAGGCAUCAGGCCUGCAGCUCACAGCAGAGGAAUGGACUGGAGGGCCAGAAGUCAUAAACAGGGAUUACAAUUGUCUAUCCCAUUUUAGAUCAUAAUCAUGGUUUUUUGCUUAAAUAGACCUAAAGUGGAAAGUUUCAAUAACUUGGAAAACAGAGAAAAAUAUAAAUAGCAGAGCAGUUUGAGGCAAUUGAGUAGAACAGUGUAAACCCUGUAAAGCUCUAGAGGUUUUGAGAGUGUCAUUAUAUCACAGUGAAAUGCAAUAAAACAUCUCAAUUUCACUGGAUGGUAAAGAAA